UUGGAUUUUGGACAUUCUAACAGGAUGUUGGCCCUGCCUGUUCUGAGCAUGUCCUGAGCCUGGCACUGCACCCUACAUUUUACGUGAUGAACUGGGGGCUCACAUAGGAAAUGACUAGCCUAAGAUGGCAGAGCAAGAACUGGAUCCUGGAUUGGAAUGCAUUGAGCAUGUGGCUCUAUCCUGAGGGUGGAGGUCUAGGGGGCCGGGAGAACUUGACAAUGGAUUUAGUCCACCUGGAAUCAGGCUCAAUCUUCAGAUGCCUCAGCCCUCCCCGAGCCCUGACCACAAGCCAAAUGGCGCUGGACCACAGUAUCAGGGUUCUCCAGCGACUCCAUCCUCCAGGGAGGAAGAGGUGGUGAAUUUCCGAGCUGGGACAGAACCCAGAGUGGCUGGAGCAGGCCAGCACCUCGCCUCAUAUACUUGGAGCCUGGAGACAUCAGGCAGCAAAUGAGAAGCAUUUUAAGGUUCUCUGACUAUUUUCUUUUUUAAUUAAUUAAUUAGUUCAUUAAUUUUUUAAUUUAAAAAUUUUUCUUACCUCUGGUUCAAGUUCUCAUGACCGAUUCCUUAAGGUUGCAACACAUGAACAUGCCUUUCCUCCAAGAAAAUUUAGAGAAUUCAGAUUAGUAAAAAGAAGAAAAUAAAAGUCUUCCAUAAACUUAUAAUCUGAGGAUAAUGUCUUUUAAUGCUUUUUCCUUCCUGUCUUUUUUCUAUGAGCAGAUAUACAUACAGGCUUUAAAAAUAUACCUUGAAAAUAGAAGCAUUCUCUAUGUGAAGUGCUUAGCAUAUUACCUAGCACAUAGUGAGUACUCAGUAAACCUUUACUGUUACUAUUAUUAUUUCUAUUUUAUAGCCUGAUUUUUCUCUCUUAAAUGGAAUUUCAGCUCCAUGAGAAUUAGAACCUUGUAAGCCUCAUUAACCUCUGUUAGUCUAGCGCUUAGCACAUAAUAGGUGCUCAAUAAACAUUUUUAAAUAGAUGAAAGAAUAAACAUUUUUCUUUCUCAUUAGAU
rnacentral:lncRNA from 10 species